rnacentral:rRNA from 1 species
AACCCAGACCGCCAGCUAAGGUCCCAAAGUCAUAGUUAAGUGGGAAACGAAGUGGGAAGGCUCAGACAGCCAGGAUGUUGGCUUAGAAGCAGCCAUCAUUUAAAGAAAGCGUAAUAGCUCACUGGUCGAGUCGGCCUGCGCGGAAGAUGUAACGGGGCUAAACUAUGCACCGAAGCUGCGGCAGCGAUAUKUARAUAUUGUUGGGUAGGGGAGCGUUCUGUAAGCCUGUGAAGGUGUGCUGUGAGGCAUGCUGGAGGUAUCAGAAGUGCGAAUGCUGACAUAAGUAACGAUAAUGCGGGUGAAAAACCCGCACGCCGGAAGACCAAGGGUUCCUGUCCAACGUUAAUCGGGGCAGGGUGAGUCGACCCCUAAGGCGAGGCAGAAAUGCGUAGUCGAUGGGAAACGGGUUAAUAUUCCCGUACUGGUGAUAAUUGCGAUGGGGGGACGGAGAAGGCUAGGCUAUCCGGGCGACGGUUGUCCCGGUUUAAGGAUGUAGGCAGGUGAAUUAGGCAAAUCCGGUUCACUAUAUGCUGAGGUCCGAUGACGAGUCACUACGGUGAUGAAGUAGCUCAUGCCCCGCUUCCAGGAAAAGCCUCUAAGCUCUAGAUUAUCAUUAAUCGUACCCCAAACCGACACAGGUGGUCAGGUAGAGAAUACUCAGGCGCUUGAGAGAACUCGGGUGAAGGAACUAGGCAAAAUGGUGCCGUAACUUCGGGAGAAGGCACGCUGGCAUUAGGUGAAGUGAUUUACUCAUGGAGCUGAAGCCAGUCGCAGAUACCAGCUGGCUGCAACUGUUUAUUAAAAACACAGCACUGUGCAAACACGAAAGUGGACGUAUACGGUGUGACGCCUGCCCGGUGCUGGAAGGUUAAUUGAUGGGGUUAUCCGUAAGGAGAAGCUCUUGAUCGAAGCCCCAGUAAACGGCGGCCGUAACUAUAACGGUCCUAAGGUAGCGAAAUUCCUUGUCGGGUAAGUUCCGACCUGCACGAAUGGCGUAAUGAUGGCCAGGCUGUCUCCACCCGAGACUCAGUGAAAUUGAACUCGCUGUGAAGAUGCAGUGUACCCGCGGCAAGACGGAAAGACCCCGUGAACCUUUACUAUAGCUUGACACUGAACAUUGAGCCUUGAUGUGUAGGAUAGGUGGGAGGCUUYGAAGCGUGGACGCCAGUCUGCGUGGAGCCAACCUUGAAAUACCACCCUUUAAUGUUUGAUGUUCUAACGUUGCCCCAUUAUCUGGGGUGCGGACAGUGUCUGGUGGGUAGUUUGACUGGGGCGGUCUCCUCCCAAAGAGUAACGGAGGAGCACGAAGGUUGGCUAAGCAUGGUCGGACAUCAUGCGGUUAGUGCAAAGGCAUAAGCCAGCUUGACUGCGAGAGUGACGGCUCGAGCAGGUACGAAAGUAGGUCUUAGUGAUCCGGUGGUUCUGAAUGGAAGGGCCAUCGCUCAACGGAUAAAAGGUACUCCGGGGAUAACAGGCUGAUACCGCCCAAGAGUUCAUAUCGACGGCGGUGUUUGGCACCUCGAUGUCGGCUCAUCACAUCCUGGGGCUGAAGUAGGUCCCAAGGGUACGGCUGUUCGCCGUUUAAAGUGGUACGCGAGCUGGGUUUAGAACGUCGUGAGACAGUUCGGUCCCUAUCUGCCGUGGGCGUUGGAAGAUUGAAAGGGGCUGCUCCUAGUACGAGAGGACCGGAGUGGACGCACCACUGGUGUUCGGGUUGUCAUGCCAAUGGCAUUGCCCGGUAGCUAAGUGCGGAAGAGAUAACCGCUGAAAGCAUCUAAGCGGGAAACUUGCCUUGAGAUGAGUCUUCCCUGACUCUUUAAGRGUCCUAAAGGAACGUUUAAGACUAAGACGUUGAUAGGUUGGGUGUGUAAGCGUAGCGAUACGUUGAGCUAACCAAUACUAAUGAACCGUGAGGCUUAACCUG